GGAGUUUGAUGGAGAGGAAUAAGGGAUUGGGGUGGUUAUCAAAUAUUCUGUUCAUUUUUUUCCCUUUUUUUUACUUUCCCCAAAAUCCCUCCACCCUCUUGUCGUUUUUCUCUUCAUUGCUGUCGAAUUUCUGCUCUCUUUCACCCUUCAUCUUUUUUAUUUUUCUUUUCCCAUUUUGCCUCGUGUCGUUCCAUAUUUUUCUACGAUUGUUCGGGGAGGAUUCAAGGGCU
rnacentral:lncRNA from 1 species